GGUGUUACUGCGAAGGGGGGACGGAGAAGGCUAUGUUGGCCGGGCGACGGUUGUCCCGGUUUAAGCGUGUAGGUGUGUGUUCCAGGUAAAUCCGGUUCACUUUAACACUGAGGCGUGACGACGAGGCACUACGGUGCUGAAGCAACAAAUGCCCUGCUUCCAGGAAAAGCCUCUAAGCAUCAGGUAACAUCAAAUCGUACCCCAAACCGACACAGGUGGUCAGGUAGAGAAUACCAAGGCGCUUGAGAGAACUCGGGUGAAGGAACUAGGCAAAAUGGUGCCGUAACUUCGGGAGAAGGCACGCUGACACGUAGGUGAAGUGAUUUACUCACGGAGCUGAAGUCAGUCGAAGAUACCAGCUGGCUGCAACUGUUUAUUAAAAACACAGCACUGUGCAAACACGAAAGUGGACGUAUACGGUGUGACGCCUGCCCGGUGCCGGAAGGUUAAUUGAUGGGGUCAGCGCAAGCGAAGCUCCUGAUCGAAGCCCCGGUAAACGGCGGCCGUAACUAUAACGGUCCUAAGGUAGCGAAAUUCCUUGUCGGGUAAGUUCCGACCUGCACGAAUGGCGUAAUGAUGGCCAGGCUGUCUCCACCCGAGACUCAGUGAAAUUGAACUCGCUGUGAAGAUGCAGUGUACCCGCGGCAAGACGGAAAGACCCCGUGAACCUUUACUAUAGCUUGACACUGAACAUUGAGCCUUGAUGUGUAGGAUAGGUGGGAGGCUUUGAAGUGUGGACGCCAGUCUGCAUGGAGCCGACCUUGAAAUACCACCCUUUAAUGUUUGAUGUUCUAACGUGGACCCGUGAUCCGGGUUGCGGACAGUGUCUGGUGGGUAGUUUGACUGGGGCGGUCUCCUCCUAAAGAGUAACGGAGGAGCACGAAGGUUGGCUAAUCCUGGUCGGACAUCAGGAGGUUAGUGCAAUGGCAUAAGCCAGCUUGACUGCGAGCGUGACGGCGCGAGCAGGUGCGAAAGCAGGUCAUAGUGAUCCGGUGGUUCUGAAUGGAAGGGCCAUCGCUCAACGGAUAAAAGGUACUCCGGGGAUAACAGGCUGAUACCGCCCAAGAGUUCAUAUCGACGGCGGUGUUUGGCACCUCGAUGUCGGCUCAUCACAUCCUGGGGCUGAAGUAGGUCCCAAGGGUAUGGCUGUUCGCCAUUUAAAGUGGUACGCGAGCUGGGUUUAGAACGUCGUGAGACAGUUCGGUCCCUAUCUGCCGUGGGCGCUGGAGAACUGAGGGGGGCUGCUCCUAGUACGAGAGGACCGGAGUGGACGCAUCACUGGUGUUCGGGUUGUCAUGCCAAUGGCACUGCCCGGUAGCUAAAUGCGGAAGAGAUAAGUGCUGAAAGCAUCUAAGCACGAAACUUGCCCCGA
rnacentral:rRNA from 1 species